GACAGAGGAUGCAAGCGUUAUCCGGAAUGAUUGGGCGUAAAGCGUCUGUAGGUGGCUUUUUAAGUCUGCCGUCAAAUCCCAGGGCUUAACCCUGGACAGGCGGUGGAAACUACCAAGCUGGAGUACGGUAGGGGCAGAGGGAAUUUCCGGUGGAGCGGUGAAAUGCAUAGAGAUCGGAAAGAACACCAACGGCGAAGGCACUCUGCUGGGCCGACACUGACACUGAGAGACGAAAGCUAGGGGAGCAAAUGGG
rnacentral:rRNA from 1 species